rnacentral:rRNA from 1 species
UGGGAGCACAGGUUUACCUGUGUGACUGCGUACCUUUUGUAUAAUGGGUCAGCGACUUAUAUUCUGUAGCAAGGUUAACCGUAUAGGGGAGCCGGAGGGAAACCGAGUCUUAAUUGGGCGUUAAGUUGCAGGGUAUAGACCCGAAACCCGGUGAUCUAGCCAUGGGCAGGUUGAAGGUUGGGUAACACUAACUGGAGGACCGAACCGACUAAUGUUGAAAAAUUAGCGGAUGACCUGUGGCUGGGGGUGAAAGGCCAAUCAAACCGGGAGAUAGCUGGUUCUCCCCGAAAGCUAUUUAGGUAGCGCCUCGUGAAUUCAUCUCCGGGGGUAGAGCACUGUUUCGGCUAGGGGGCCAUCCCGGCUUACCAACCCGAUGCAAACUGCGAAUACCGGAGAAUGUUAUCACGGGAGACACACGGCGGGUGCUAACGUCCGUCGUGAAGAGGGAAACAACCCAGACCGCCAGCUAAGGUCCCAAAGUCAUGGUUAAGUGGGAAACGAUGUGGGAAGGCCCAGACAGCCAGGAUGUUGGCUUAGAAGCAGCCAUCAUUUAAAGAAAGCGUAAUAGCUCACUGGUCGAGUCGGCCUGCGCGGAAGAUGUAACGGGGCUAAACCAUGCACCGAAGCUGCGGCAGNNNNNNNNNNNNNNNNNNNNNNNNNNNNNNNNNNNNNNNNNNNNNNUGCUGGAGGUAUCAGAAGUGCGAAUGCUGACAUAAGUAACGAUAAAGCGGGUGAAAAGCCCGCUCGCCGGAAGACCAAGGGUUCCUGUCCAACGUUAAUCGGGGCAGGGUGAGUCGACCCCUAAGGCGAGGCCGAAAGGCGUAGUCGAUGGGAAACGGGUUAAUAUUCCCGUACUUGGUGUUACUGCGAAGGGGGGACGGAGAAGGCUAUGUUGGCCGGGCGACGGUUGUCCCGGUUUAAGCGUGUAGGUGUGUGUUCCAGGUAAAUCCGGUUCACUUUAACACUGAGGCGUGACGACGAGGCACUACGGUGCUGAAGCAACAAAUGCCCUGCUUCCAGGAAAAGCCUCUAAGCAUCAGGUAACAUCAAAUCGUACCCCAAACCGACACAGGUGGUCAGGUAGAGAAUACCAAGGCGCUUGAGAGAACUCGGGUGAAGGAACUAGGCAAAAUGGUGCCGUAACUUCGGGAGAAGGCACGCUGACACGUAGGUGAAGUGAUUUACUCAUGGAGCUGAAGUCAGUCGAAGAUACCAGCUGGCUGCAACUGUUUAUUAAAAACACAGCACUGUGCAAACACGAAAGUGGACGUAUACGGUGUGACGCCUGCCCGGUGCCGGAAGGUUAAUUGAUGGGGUCAGCGCAAGCGAAGCUCCUGAUCGAAGCCCCGGUAAACGGCGGCCGUAACUAUAACGGUCCUAAGGUAGCGAAAUUCCUUGUCGGGUAAGUUCCGACCUGCACGAAUGGCGUAAUGAUGGCCAGGCUGUCUCCACCCGAGACUCAGUGAAAUUGAACUCGCUGUGAAGAUGCAGUGUACCCGCGGCAAGACGGAAAGACCCCGUGAACCUUUACUAUAGCUUGACACUGAACAUUGAGCCUUGAUGUGUAGGAUAGGUGGGAGGCUUUGAAGNNNNNNNNNNNNNNNNNNNNNNNNNNNNNNNNNNNNNNNNGGGUUGCGGACAGUGUCUGGUGGGUAGUUUGACUGGGGCGGUCUCCUCCUAAAGAGUAACGGAGGAGCACGAAGGUUGGCUAAUCCUGGUCGGACAUCAGGAGGUUAGUGCAAUGGCAUAAGCCAGCUUGACUGCGAGCGUGACGGCGCGAGCAGGUGCGAAAGCAGGUCAUAGUGAUCCGGUGGUUCUGAAUGGAAGGGCCAUCGCUCAACGGAUAAAAGGUACUCCGGGGAUAACAGGCUGAUACCGCCCAAGAGUUCAUAUCGACGGCGGUGUUUGGCACCUCGAUGUCGGCUCAUCACAUCCUGGGGCUGAAGUAGGUCCCAAGGGUAUGGCUGUUCGCCAUUUAAAGUGGUACGCGAGCUGGGUUUAGAACGUCGUGAGACAGUUCGGUCCCUAUCUGCCGUGGGCGCUGGAGAACUGAGGGGGGCUGCUCCUAGUACGAGAGGACCGGAGUGGACGCAUCACUGGUGUUCGGGUUGUCAUGCCAAUGGCACUGCCCGGUAGCUAAAUGCGGAAGAGAUAAGUGCUGAAAGCAUCUAAGCACGAAACUUGCCCCGAGAUGAGUUCUCCCUGAGACUUAGAGUCUCCUGAAGGAACGUUGAAGACGACGACGUUGAUAGGCCGGGUGUGUAAGCGCAGCGAUGCGUUGAGCUAACCGGUACUAAUGAACCGUGAGGCUUAACCUUACAACGCCGAAG